rnacentral:rRNA from 1 species
UACGUAGGGUGCAAGCGUUAAUCGGAAUUACUGGGCGUAAAGCGUGCGCAGGCGGUUUUGUAAGUCUGUCGUGAAAUCCCCGGGCUCAACCUGGGAAUUGCGAUGGAGACUGCAAGGCUAGAAUCUGGCAGAGGGGGGUAGAAUUCCACGUGUAGCAGUGAAAUGCGUAGAGAUGUGGAGGAACACCGAUGGCGAAGGCAGCCCCUGGGUCAAGAUUGACGCUCAUGCACGAAAGCGUGGGGAGCAAACAGGG